rnacentral:snRNA from 1 species
GUGCUUGCUUCGGCAGCACAUAUACUAAAAUUGGAAUGAUACAGAGAAGAAUAACGUAGCCCCUGUGCAAAAAGAAAGAAAGAGAAAGAAAACAUAUGUUA